rnacentral:tRNA from 1 species
GGGAAGUUGGCUCAGUGGUAGAGUGCUUGCCUUGCAUGCAUGAGGCCCUGGGUUCGAUUCCUCAGCACCCCA